rnacentral:rRNA from 1 species
UACGUAGGGUGCGAGCGUUAAUCGGAAUUACUGGGCGUAAAGCGUGCGCAGGCGGCUUUGCAAGACAGAUGUGAAAUCCCCGGGCUUAGCCUGGGAACUGCAUUUGUGACUGCAUGGCUGGAGUGCGGCAGAGGGAGAUGGAAUUCCGCGUGUAGCAGUGAAAUGCGUAGAGAUCUGGAGGAACACCGAUGGCGAAGGCAGCCUUCUGGGCCAACACUGACGCUCAUGCACGAAAGCGUGGGGAGCAAACAGG